rnacentral:misc_RNA from 1 species
GUGAAUCAUCGAAUUUUUGAACGCAUAUUGCACUCUCUGGUAUUCCAGAGAGUAUGCCUGUUUGAGGGUAAUUAUACAGACUAUUUAACCAAUUUUUUUGGUCAAAGGAUAUGAGUUCUCCGCGUAUAUAGCGGUAGCUUGAUAUAAAUGGUAAAGUCUCGUUUUAGUCGAGACGCGUAUU